CCUACGGGGGGCAGCAGUGAGGAAUAGUGGUCAAUGGACGGAAGUCUGAACCAGCCAUGCCGCGUGCAGGAAGACGGCUCUAUGAGUUGUAAACUGCUUUUGUACAAGGGUAAACCUGAAUACGGGUAUGCAGCUGAAAGGACGGUACGAAUAAGGAUCGGCUAACUCCGUGCCAGCAGCCGCGGUAAGACGGAGGAUCCAAGCGUUAUCCGGAUUUAUUGGGUUUAAAGGGUGCGUAGGCGGAUUGAUAAGUUAGAGGUGAAAUGUCCGAGCUUAACUCGUGAACUGCCUCUCAUACUGUUGAUCUAGAGCGUAGCUGCGGUAGGCGGAAUGUCUGGUGUAGCGG
rnacentral:rRNA from 1 species